rnacentral:rRNA from 1 species
CAGUCGCCACGGGAAUACGUAGGGUGCAAGCGUUAAUCGGAAUUACUGGGCGUAAAGCGUGCGCAGGCGGUUAUAUAAGACAGAUGUGAAAUCCCCGGGCUCAACCUGGGAACUGCAUUUGUGACUGUAUAGCUAGAGUACGGCAGAGGGGGAUGGAAUUCCGCGUGUAGCAGUGAAAUGCGUAGAUAUGCGGAGGAACACCGAUGGCGAAGGCAAUCCCCUGGGCCUGUACUGACGCUCAUGCACGAAAGCGUGGGGAGCAAACAGGAUUAGAGACCCGUGUAGUCCCUGUCUCUUAUAC